UCGGGCCACAGCAAGCAGUGACAAGACAGCUGCAGUCACUCAUGGGGAGAGACUACACAAAGAAUCAUAUACCUUUUUUUUUUUUUUACCGUUUUAAAAAAUAGAUGUAAAUUUCACAUAACGUCUGAUUUACCAUCGUAGACAUUUUUUUGUUUGAUUUGUUUUGUUUUUUGAGACAGGGUCUCACUAUGUAGUUCAGGCUGGCCUGGAACUCAUGGUGAUCCUCCUGCCUCAGCCUCCCAAGUGCUGGGAUGACAGCUGCAGGCCACCAUGCUCCUGGCUGCCUUGGGAAGUUUGAUAGGGGAACAGGGAAGACAGACACAGCUUGUGCUGAAGCAAAUAGUGCCUGCCCCGGUGGGCAUCAAAGUCCUUGUGUACAAGUCCUGAGGCCCAGGGUGGGGGCACUGGGCUCUGGGGACAGCAGGCUGGAAGGGAAAUCACUUGAUUUCCUAUGCUACUUCCCACCUUGCCAGCAGUUUUGCUAAAAUGCCAUAGUCUCAUCUCAAAAGCUCAUCUAUGACAGUUGGUGACUCGGAGGCUCACAGAUGGGAUGCACCCCCUGCCCCAGGGCUGAGCUGGGAAGAGGGAUGGGAAGAUGAAUUGCCGCUGCCUGGAAGGGUUUUCUGGGUGGAAGGGUCCAUCGUGGGGAAAGGCUCAGGGGUCCUCCAUGUCUGGGGAUGGACAGCAGAUGGGCUAGGAAGGCUUGGUGGAGAAUAUGAUGCUGAGGUCCAUGAGGGCUAAUGACAGAGGUUCUUUUGUUAUUAAGCAUCUACUGUGUGCCAGAUCCCAUCCUGGCCCUCCUGAGGCCAAAGUCUAGGAGGAAAGUGAACAAAAAACAAAAAGAACCCCACCUCAUCAAUUCCAGAAUUCAUGAGGUUGUAAUCUAAGUGGUAUUUGGCAAAUCUGGACAUUAUCUUGAGAGCAAUAGGGAGCUGUACAAGGGCUUAGAGUGAGGGGAGGCCUGCUCAGAUUCAGAUGUGAGAAAGAUACCCAGGGCGAACUCCAUGAUGCUGUUGGGGGGGGGGUGUUUGUAAAUUGCCCCACUGGGAGGCUACUUGGGCAAGCUGAUCUUCUUACCAAGUACUGAUUAAGCACCUUGUAUCUACCAAGCAUUGCUUUACCAACCUGUGUUAUGCAAGCAUACAUAAAAUGAUAGAUUUCACUGUUGGGCCAUACUAAGCUACCUUCUGAGGUCUCAUCUCUGCAGUUACAGCACCGGCCUGUGCAUUGCACUCAGGGGACUCGCUUCUCCUGCCACAACUCGUGAGAAGCAGAUGACCAGUACUCGGAGGAGAGUGCUGGCCUAGCACUCUCAAGGGCCUGCGUUCUGUCCCCAGCAUGGAAGAAUAAUAAGGUGGGGACUGGUAACUUGGGGCCCAGAGAGUGCCUGGCUGGAGGGUGCACACCAGAAAUCCAACCGAGACUGCCGGUUGUGGACUAAAAGGAUUCCAUGGACGCAAAAAGGCUAAAAAAUGUAUUAGAUUGAGAUUCAAGGGCCAAGGAUUUAGCUCAGUGGUUCCGCUGCCUGCUGCGCAAGAGCAAGGACCCAAGUUCGAUCCCUGGUACCAAAAAAAAAAAAAAAACGAUUGAGAUUCAAGGUAUCGUGUGUAAUAGAGCAAUCUGAGCUUUUAAAUGUUAUUUAACAUUUUUAAUUGUGUGGCUUUCAAACACAGCAAUCCCAGCUCUGGGGGUCUCUGUAAAAGUAAGUAAAGCUGCCGGAUAAGGUGGUGCAUACCCGUGACCCCAGGACUCUGGGAGGCUGAGGCCGGAGGAUCACAAGUUGGGAGUCCAACCUGGGCUAUUUAGCAAUUUAGCAAGACUCUGGCUCAAAAUAAAAAAUAAGUCGGGCGUGGUGGUGCACGCCUGUAAUUCCAGCAUUUGGGAGGCUGAGGCAGGAGGAUUGGUGCAAGUUCAAGGCCAGCCUGAACUACAUAGUGAGACCUAGUGUGGGGAUCGGUGUCAGCCAAAAAGCUUCAUUUUAAUUUUACCCUCUGUUAUAAAUAGCCAGGAGACUAUGUAAUGGGGAACCAUGUCUCCGCUAACUCCGAUGUUUCCCUUUAGAGAUUGCCCUAGCAACAAGAUGAACCUUCUGUAACCCCAGGAAACAAAGUAGCCCAUGAGGGCGAGGAGUGUCUAGAAAACUAGCAAACAAGGAAGCAGGUGUUUUUUUGUAUAAAGGUCAUGAUUAAUGACCUAACUCACUGAGGGUAUAAAAGAGAGGUGUAAAUAAACUUGCUUGCUCGGUCUUGGGAGCCCUCCCGACUCUGUCUCUUCUCUUGAUUUUUCUCAGUCGUCCUUUCCCCCAUUCAGGAACUGUUCGACUGGUGACUGCUGGUCCGUCACAACCUAGUCUCAAAAAAAUUUUUUUAAUUUAAAAAAAGGGCUUGGCUUGGUGUGUAGCCCAGUGCGAAGGCCCUGGGUUCCAUCCCCAGUCUAAAAAAAAGAAAGAAAAAGCAUGAUGUUUAAGUUCAGAACUAGACCUCUCAGGGUUUGAAACCUAGUCACCACUUUCUUAGCAGUGUGCCUUCAAACCAAUAGUUGACUCCUCUGAGGCUCCGUUUUCCCUUCUAGACAAUGAGACUAACAGACCAAUCGCUUCUCAAGGUUGCUAUGGGGGAGUGCACACGUUAAUAUUUACUGUGAAGCCCUUCCUGCCGGGGAGGAAUCUUUAGAAGAGGGGAGUUCAACCGACUUUUGAAAAUUCAACUUUUCAAAGGAUUCGCCCAAGGCUGCCAGCAGGGGGCAGCAGAGAACCACGCCUGUGCUUCGCCGCGGAGCCUUCGCUCGAAAUGGUCGAGCAUUUAGGGAAUGCCAGUUGUAUCCCGAGCGCUGCGCUGAGGGAUUGGGGAUCUAAGAGCCUACGGGAGCAAGGUGGAAAGGGUUAUCUACAUAUUCAUGAGUUCAUCAACCAAUCCACAGCCUGAACUCCGGUCUUUAGCGCCUAGGCGAUUGUGAUGUCACAGGGACGCCUCUUGUGAUCCUUAAAGACGCAGUAACCUCUCCCGAAGAAGGAAGGUUGCAACCACAACUGCAGGAUUCGCUUCGGAGUUUGAAGUGUGCUCCGGCCCAGGACCCAGGGGCUUGAGUGCGGAAGAGCAGUGAGCGGAGGGCGCACUGGGAACCAUUUAAACUGCAGGCCCCGCCCAGCCUGUGGUGGCGCGGACUUUUUGUUCCCUCCUCUCCCUCCAGGUGGUCUAGCCCAUCAUAGCCCACCUGGACCUGUCCCCUCGCCUCUGCCCUCGUCUCUGCCCUCGUCUCUGGACUCUCUCCGUCACAACAAAAUCUGCAGAGACAUCACUGGAUCUGUGUACGGAUGGGGAAAUCGGGGCUCGAAGAUAAACCCAGUGAGAUGGGAGACGCGAGUUGUGCACUCCUUAGGGACGCUUUCCAGGGAGAAGUGUCAUUUGAGUAGGGCUUCAAAGGAAGGGGGUGCCGGUCAAGGAUCAGCAGAAGGCGUUGUUUCUAGUGACAGGAGGAGCACUGGCCGAGGUCCAGACUGGUGGCCCAAAGAAGCUAGUUGUGAAAGCUCAUACCUGUCGUCUCACUCAGGAAGCUGAGGCAGGAGGAUCAUGAGUUCCAGUCCAGCCUGGGCUGGGGAUUUAGCUCAGUGGUUUCACCGCCUGCCUCGCAAGCGCAAGGUCCUGAGUUCAAUCCCCGGUACCUAAAAAAUAAAAAAUGAAUAGGGCUGGAGUCGUAGCUCAGUGUUUGAGCAGCCCUCAGUUCAAUCUCAACUAAUGCAAAAAAAAGGGGGAAGAAGAUUUUUAAAUUUAUUGUACUUUAUUUAGCCCAUGUUGGGGCCGGGGAUUUAGCUGAGUGGUUCUGCUGCUUGCCUUGCAGGCGCAAGGUACCGAGUUCGAUCCCCAGUACCAAAAAAAAGAAGUAUUUAGCCCAUGUUUGCAGUACGAAACAACCGCAUUCAUCCUGGGGAGUCAGCCCAUGGACAUAACCCAUCUUAACUCUUUUUUUGCUCCCUUCCCCUCCCUCUAUCUCUUGAUCCCUUUUCUUUUUCCUUUUUUUUUUGGUACCAGGGAUCGAACUCGGGUCCUUGCGCUUGCGCAGCAGGCGGCGAAACCACUGAGCUAAAUCCCCAGCUCCUUGAUCCCUUUUCCUGUUGCAAAAGAUCUAUCUCCCUCUUUCCUAUAUCUACUUUUUAUUUUGCUCUUUCUUUAUGUUCCGAG
ensembl:lncRNA